UUCGAGGGACUUCGUGUGGACCAUUCGUAGAGGCUGGAUGCUUGUGCAACUGUGAGUGAUUAGAGAAGACUUCUAGAUCUAUGUUCUUGAUCAUGGAGUUUGACUAUCCAUGCUCAAAUAUUGGGUUCAAAAUUCUAAAAGUGGUAAAUUAGAUCUAUUAUUAAAUGCUAUUUUUGGUUCACAUGCUUGUCAUUUUAGAUUCAAAUUUUUAUGCAUAUAAAUUCAUAUCAUCGAUCUAUUUAUAGGAGUUUUAAAAUUAGAUAUUAUGCAUGUAUUUAUAGAUUAAAUAGUUUAAUCUAAUAUUC
rnacentral:lncRNA from 1 species